AUGUAAAUACUGGAAAGGAAAGAAAGAAAGAAAAGUCAAAUCAAAGUCAUAUUUGAUUAUCCUGAAUCAGUUGUAAUAAGUUUUGAUUAACUGAAGGACAAAAUAAGCAAUAAGCUCAAUAAAUUGGGGACUUAAAUUGGUAAGGCCAAUUGAUUUAAGAGUCACACACAUGUAAUUGUUACAUUAACAAACCUGCGCCACUUGAUCAUUACCAAUCAUAAGUGUAAUACAAAAGUGGUGAUUAGCAUUGAUAUUGAUGACAAAUUUGGCUUUACCAAGAACACACUCAAAGCUCCACUGAUGAAAAGCUUCAUGAAAAAUGAAAUUAUCUUGAUGGGGAUAAAUCAGUUGAUAAUGAAUUUAUCAAAUUUAUAAGUUCCAAACCACAUUGUGGGCUGAUUUGCUUCGGAAUCAAUUGAAUGACACGAAUCCACGGGUGAAUGUGAUGUUUCAGAGGUGAGACGCAUGAGAUCAGUUUCCUCUAUUAGCGAUGAUUCACUUUCC